AGCUCAUAACCAAGUGGUCCCACACGUGAGGGUGUCCAGCCUACAUCAGCAGAGCUACCCAACUGCAGCUGACCACAGGCAAAAGAACCCUCCAGAAGGAGAGACCGUUCCAUGGUAGACAGAGAAACACAUCCAGGCUUGACCCACAUAACUGCUGCCCAGUGGGCUCUGGGUGAGGGAACCCAUGGCAGGAAGACCUGAUGCAGACAGAACAUGCACCCAUGUGCUUGGCCAGAGACUGGAGUCAGCCUGGGAAUGUGGUCCACGUGCGGACUGGAAUCCGGAAGGGAGAUGCCCACUGUUCAGGAUAGCUGAAGACUUCCAGGGGAGAAAAGACCUAACGCAGUCCAACUCACAAGCAGGAACUCAGUAGAUUAUGGUGAUCACAAUGG